rnacentral:rRNA from 1 species
GAUGAACGCUGGCGGCGUGCUUAACACAUGCAAGUCGAACGGUAAGGCCCUUUCGGGGGUACACGAGCGGCGAACGGGUGAGUAACACGUGGGUGAUCUGCCCUGCACUUUGGGAUAAGCCUGGGAAACUGGGUCUAAUACCGGAUAGGACUACGCGAUGCAUGUCGUGUGGUGGAAAGCUUUUGCGGUGUGGGAUGGGCCCGCGGCCUAUCAGCUUGUUGGUGGGGUGAUGGCCUACCAAGGCGACGACGGGUAGCCGGCCUGAGAGGGUGUCCGGCCACACUGGGACUGAGAUACGGCCCAGACUCCUACGGGAGGCAGCAGUGGGGAAUAAUGCACAAUGGGCGCAAGCCUGAUGCAGCGACGCCGCGUGAGGGAUGACGGCCUUCGGGUUGUAAACCUCUUUCAAUAGGGACGAAGCGCAAGUGACGGUACCUAUAGAAGAAGCACCGGCCAACUACGUGCCAGCCGCCGCCGUAACAC